rnacentral:piRNA from 1 species
UGGUACGUCUGCCUGCCUCGGCCCCAUCUG